rnacentral:piRNA from 1 species
UGUCCACUGGCUUCUGGAUUAACUGAAAAC